AGCCCUUAGUAUUAAUGCAUUAAGGGUGAUAUCUGCCCACUGUUGGCGAUAUAAAGGGCCGCGGUACUUUGACCGUGCUAAGGUAGCAUAAUCAGUUGGCCUUUAAAUGGGGUCUGGAANGAAUGGAAGAACGGGGCUUAGCUGUAUCUUUGCAUUUUCUUCGAAUUUACUAAGUAGGUGAAAAGGCCUACGCAAGAAAAAAGACGAGAAGACCCUAAGAGUUUAUGUUUUUGUUGGGGCGACAUACGGCCAUUAUAACGCCGUAGAUAACAUAUAGGCAGGGAUAUUUCAUGUACAGAUAAACUACCUUAGGGAUAACAGCACUAUCUAAGUUUGGGUUGUGACCUCGAUGUUGGACUAGGAAAGUUAUUAGCUAGCCGCUAAUAAAGCUAAUUCUGUUCRAAUAUUUUUCUCCUACWU
rnacentral:rRNA from 1 species